GCAAACAGGAUUAGAUACCUGGUAGUCCACGCCGUAAACGAUGUCGACUUGGAGGUUGUUCCCUUGAGGAGUGGCUUCCGGAGCUAACGCGUUAAGUCGACCGCUGGGGAGUACGGCCGCAAGGUUAAAACUCAAAUGAAUUGACGGGGGCCCGCACAAGCGGUGGAGCAUGUGGUUUAAUUCGAUGCAACGCGAAGAACCUUACCUACUCUUGACAUCCACGGAAUUUGGCAGAGAUGCCUUAGUGCCUUCGGGAACCGUGAGACAGGUGCUGCAUGGCUGUCGUCAGCUCGUGUUGUGAAAUGUUGGGUUAAGUCCCGCAACGAGCGCAACCCUUAUCCUUUGUUGCCAGCGAUUCGGUCGGGAACUCAAAGGAGACUGCCGGUGAUAAACCGGAGGAAGGUGGGGAUGACGUCAAGUCAUCAUGGCCCUUACGAGUAGGGCUACACACGUGCUACAAUGGCGCAUACAAAGAGAAGCGACCUCGCGAGAGCAAGCGGACCUCACAAAGUGCGUCGUAGUCCGGAUCGGAGUCUGCAACUCGACUCCGUGAAGUCGGAAUCGCUAGUAAUCGUGGAUCAGAAUGCCACGGUGAAUACGUUCCCGGGCCUUGUACACACCGCCCGUCACACCAUGGGAGUGGGUUGCAAAAGAAGUAGGUAGCUUAACCUUCGGGAGGGCGCUUACCACUUUGUGAUUCAUGACUGGGGUGAAGUCGUAACAAGGUAACCAAGGGCGAAUUCCAG
rnacentral:rRNA from 1 species